rnacentral:tRNA from 1 species
AGCCUAUUAGCUCAAAUGGUAGAGCAAUGUGCCAUACACAUAUAUGUAGGUUCGAGUCCUACAUAGGCUG